UAGGGAAUCUUCGGCAAUGGACGAAAGUCUGACCGAGCAACGUCGCGUGAGUGAAGAAGGUUUUCGGAUCGUAAAACUCUGUUGUUAGAGAAGAACAAGGACGUUAGUAACUGAACGUCCCCUGACGGUAUCUAACCAGAAAGCCACGGCUAACUACGUGCCAGCAGCCGCGGUAAUACGUAGGUGGCAAGCGUUGUCCGGAUUUAUUGGGCGUAAAGCGAGCGCAGGCGGUUUCUUAAGUCUGAUGUGAAAGCCCCCGGCUCAACCGGGGAGGGUCAUUGGAAACUGGGAGACUUGAGUGCAGAAGAGGAGAGUGGAAUUCCAUGUGUAGCGGUGAAAUGCGUAGAUAUAUGGAGGAACACCAGUGGCGAAGGCGGCUCUCUGGUCUGUAACUGACGCUGAGGCUCGAAAGCGUGGGGAGCAAACAGG
rnacentral:rRNA from 1 species